AUGGAUUCAUCAAGAGGCUCCUCUGAUUCAGAGGAAAUCUAAGUGCUCUUAGAGCAUCAACCACAUCAGGAGACUAAAAUUGAUGUCAUUCGUGUGUUUAACUACUAGUGGAAAAUGGGCCCAAGUCAUUUUGCUAAAUCAGAGGGCUUCCCCUCAGCACUGCCUUAGAAAGAUCAGGAAAACCAGGAGGGCAGAAAUAGAAUUCCAGCCCAAGCUGACCUCAUUGGUUAGGAGAUAUUUCAAUGUUGGAUUAAAGUUUCAUGUUCCCCCCAGCUGACCGAAUUCAACACACAAAUGUUUACUUUAUGUCUCUAAUCAUUAGCUAAGAAGUUAAAAUUUCUUCAGGAGAAAAAAAAAGAUAAUAUAAUCGUCGGAAUCCUUUGCUCACACACCAAAAUGAUUUUGAAUGAAAAAGGAUUGACACUAUGAACCAGAAGUCAGUGCAGAGUCUACCCCAAAGAAUCAAAAAGUUCUUUUGCAUUUACAUUGUUCUGGAAUUAAUGACCAUGUGCUCUUAAGCCAGUCUCUGGACCUCAUUUUUCUGAGUAUGCUGAACUACAUGGUUCCUACAUUCUCCAUCUGGCUCCUUUAACAACAAAAUCUGUACUGUGUUGGACAACAACAAGCCAACGACCUCAUUAUUGAAUGAGUCCUAAAAGAGAACUAUGACUCUCAGAGUGCCAAAUAUGAUAAGAUAUUCUGAAGCAGAAGUCAAAUAACAAAGGAUUUCUUGGCUGCACCUGUAAAUUACGGAAUCAGAAUCCUGAGGGCCAGCUGGGGAGUGAUGCACUUCUUAAAGAAGCUUCUCAGGUGACGUUCCUGCACACAAGCAUUUGAGAACCGCUGGAAUGGAGAGCCUGAGUGCAAUCUUCCAGAAAUCAAUGGGCCAUCAUAACGUAGACAGAGGAGGGGAUGCAUGUGAUAUUGAUCCAUAGAUGGAACUCAACCACAGGGAGGCAGAUUUCAGUAAAACUAACUCUUGAAAUCAGAAGCAUUUUUUUCAUCAGAGACCGUUUUAUUUUCUUCUGCAUACCUUCAUUUCUCAACAAAGUACAUUCGUUUUAUGGUGCCAAGUAAAUAGUUGUAGAAUGGGCGAGUGAGUAACUCUCUAAUCAGAAUGAUCAUAUAUUCUGGUUAUUCGGUUUCAUAGGGCGGUUCUUGCUUUACACCUCUUAAGGCAAUAGC